rnacentral:tRNA from 1 species
GGCGCAUUAGCUCAGCCGGUUAGAGCGACGGAAUCAUAAUCCGCAGGUCCCCUGUUCGAAUCAGGGAUGCGCUACCA